GUGCUCGUACUCCAAUGUGGCAGAGAGGCCGGCCCGAGAUGCCGGAUGUUGUGGGUUCAAGUCCCUCCGAGCACA
rnacentral:tRNA from 1 species